UGGGGAAUUUUGGACAAUGGGCGAAAGCCUGAUCCGGCAAUGCCGCGUGUGUGAAGAAGGCCUUCGGGUUGUAAAGCACUUUUGUCCGGAAAGAAAUCCUUGGCUCUAAUACAGUCGGGGGAUGACGGUACCGGAAGAAUAAGCACCGGCUAACUACGUGCCAGCAGCCGCGGUAAUACGUAGGGUGCAAGCGUUAAUCGGAAUUACUGGGCGUAAAGCGUGCGCAGGCGGUUUGCUAAGACCGAUGUGAAAUCCCCGGGCUCAACCUGGGAACUGCAUUGGUGACUGGCAGGCUAGAGUAUGGCAGAGGGGGGUAGAAUUCCACGUGUAGCAGUGAAAUGCGUAGAGAUGUGGAGGAAUACCGAUGGCGAAGGCAGCCCCCUGGGCCAAAUACUGACGCUCAUGCACGAAAGCGUGGGGAGCAAACAGGAUUAGAUACCCUGGUAGUCCACGCCCUAAACGAUGUCAACUAGUUGUUGGGGAUUCAUUUCCUUAGUAACGUAGCUAACGCGUGAAGUUGACCGCCUGGGGAGUACGGUCGCAAGAUUAAAACUU
rnacentral:rRNA from 1 species